rfam:Methylacidiphilum infernorum V4, complete genome.
GGACAGAUGCCGGAGUGGUUGAUCGGGGCGGUCUUGAAAACCGCUAGGGAGUGACCCUCCCUCGUGGGUUCGAAUCCCACUCUGUCCG